rnacentral:rRNA from 1 species
AGCAGCCGCGGUAAUUCCAGCUCCAAUAGCGUAUAUUAAAGUUGUUGCAGUUAAAAAGCUCGUAGUUGAAUUUCGGGGUUAGUAGGUUGGUCAUGCCUCUGGUAUGUACUGGUCUCACUGAUUCCUCCUUCCUGAUGAACCUUAAUGCCAUUAAUUUGGUGUUUUGGGGAAUUUGGACUGUUACUUUGAAGAAAUUAGAGUGUUUAAAGCAAGCUAACGCUUGAAUACAUUAGCAUGGAAUAAUGAAAUAGGACGUUCGAUCCUAUUUUGUUGGUUUCUAGGAUUGACGUAAUGAUUAAUAGGGAUAGUUGGGGGCAUUAGUAUUCAAUUGUCAGAGGUGAAAUUCUUGGAUUUAUUGAAGACUAACUACUGCGAAAGCAUUUGCCAAGGAUGUUUUCAUUAAUCAAGAACGAAAGUUAGGGGAUCGAAGACGAUCAGAUACCGUCGUAGUCUUAACCAUAAACUA